GUGGUCAAGUUGUCAAGGGCGAACGGUGAAUGCCUUGGCACCAGGAGCCGAUGAAGGACGUGGGAGGCCGCGAUAGGCCUGGGGGAGCUGUCAACCAAGCUGUGAUCCCAGGGUGUCCGAAUGGGGAAACCUGGCACCAGUCAUGUGGUGUCACCCACACCUGAACACAUAGGGUGUGUGGAGGGAACGCGGGGAAGUGAAACAUCUCAGUACCCGUAGGAAGAGAAAACAAUUUAGUGAUUCCGUGAGUAGUGGCGAGCGAAAGCGGAUCGAGGCUAAACCGGCUGCGUGUGAUACCUGUCAGGGGUUGCGUGGUCGGGGUUGUGGGACCCUGCUGAACAAGCUGACACUUGUUCGAGAAGUUACAAAGUUAGUGGCUAGUCGAACAGUCUGGAAUGGCUGACCGUAGACGGUGAAAGUCCGGUAGGUGAAAGUUGCUGACCUUCUGUGGGUGUUCCCGAGUAGCGGCGGACCCCUGAAAUCUGCCGUGAAUCUGCCAGGACCACCUGGUAAGCCUAAAUACUUCCUGGUGACCGAUAGCGGACAAGUACCGUGAGGGAAUGGUGAAAAGUACCCCGGGAGGGGAGUGAAAUAGUACCUGAAACCGUUCGCCUACAAUCCGUCGGAGCCUUGCGGGGUGACGGCGUGCCUUUUGAAGAAUGAGCCUGCGAGUUAGUGGCAUGUGGCGAGGUUAACCCGUGUGGGGGAGCCGUAGCGAAAGCGAGUCUGAAUAGGGCGAUUCAGUCGCGUGUCCUAGACCCGAAGCGGAGUGAUCUAGCCAUGGGCAGGCUGAAGCGCGGGUAAGACCGCGUGGAGGGCCGAACCCACCAAUGUUGAAAAAUUGGGGGAUGACCUGUGGUUAGGGGUGAAAGGCCAAUCAAACUCCGUGAUAGCUGGUUCUCCCCGAAAUGCAUUUAGGUGCAGCGUCGCGUGUUUCUUGCCGGAGGUAGAGCACUGGAUGGUCUAGGGGGCCCACAAGCUUACCGAAAUCAGCCAAACUCCGAAUGCCGGUAAGUGAGAGCGCGGCAGUGAGACUGCGGGGGAUAAGCUUCGUAGUCGAGAGGGAAACAGCCCAGAUCACCAGCUAAGGCCCCUAAGCGUGUGCUAAGUGGAAAAGGAUGUGGGGUCGCAUAGACAACCAGGAGGUUGGCUUAGAAGCAGCCACCCUUUAAAGAGUGCGUAAUAGCUCACUGGUCAAGUGGUUCCGCGCCGACAAUGUAGCGGGGCUCAAGCACACCGCCGAAGCUGUGGCAUUCACAUUUUAACCUCGCUUGGACUUGAUUCCUUGUGCAGGUGUGUGGAUGGGUAGGGGAGCGUCGUGCCGCGAGUGAAGCAGCGGGGUGACCCAGUUGUGGACGCGGCACGAGUGAGAAUGCAGGCAUGAGUAGCGAAAGAAGGGUGAGAAACCCUUCCGCCGGAUGACCAAGGGUUCCAGGGCCAGGCUAAUCCGCCCUGGGUGAGUCGGGACCUAAGGCGAGGCCGAGAGGCCGUAGUCGAUGGACAACGGGUUGAUAUUCCCGUACCCGCGAAAG
rnacentral:rRNA from 1 species